rnacentral:rRNA from 1 species
AUUGAACGCUGGCGGCAUGCCUUACACAUGCAAGUCGAACGGCAGCACGGGUGCUUGCACCUGGUGGCGAGUGGCGAACGGGUGAGUAAUACAUCGGAACAUGUCCUGUAGUGGGGGAUAGCCCGGCGAAAGCCGGAUUAAUACCGCAUACGAUCUACGGAUGAAAGCAGGGGACCUUCGGGCCUCGCGCUAUAGGGUUGGCCGAUGGCUGAUUAGCUAGUUGGUGGGGUAAAGGCCUACCAAGGCGACGAUCAGUAGCUGGUCUGAGAGGACGACCAGCCACACUGGGACUGAGACACGGCCCAGACUCCUACGGGAGGCAGCAGUGGGGAAUUUUGGACAAUGGGCGAAAGCCUGAUCCAGCAAUGCCGCGUGUGUGAAGAAGGCCUUCGGGUUGUAAAGCACUUUUGUCCGGAAAGAAAUCCUUGGCUCUAAUACAGUCGGGGGAUGACGGUACCGGAAGAAUAAGCACCGGCUAACUACGUG